rnacentral:lncRNA from 1 species
UGAAUAAGCAAACUGUCAACCUCAUCUGAUGGAGCACGGAAGACGUCCUUUUUAUCCUUUGGUUCUGUGACCUGUUAGUGUGACAAAGACAUGGCCAGUGCUUGUGCACAUGUCAUCUUCAGCCCUUUUUAUUGACAAAGCCCCCCCAACCCCCAUCCCCUUGACUCAUUUAUUACUUAGAAUAAUGUUAGCUGCUGUAAUAAAGAAGCCCCAGCAUUUCAGGGGCUUUGCAAAAGGAGCAGUUAUUUCUCAUUCGCAUCAUAACCCAGGGAGGAUGUUUUCGGCCAGCAGGUGGCUUUCUUCCACAUGGUGAUUCAGGAAUUCAGUUUUCUUCCACUUUGCGAAGCCUUUGUAGGCCUUGCAGUCAAGGGGCAGAUGGGAAGAGGAUUCGGGAUGGCAGACACUUCUCGCUGCCAUGGCUCCAAAAUGAUACUUACCACUUUUCUCUUAGUCUACUGAUAAAAUUAGUGACUUUAACACACUCAGAUGCAAAGGAGACUGGGAAAUACAGUCAUGGCUGGGCAGCCACUUUACAAUAAUCAUUGUCCUACAAAAGACAAUUUUUUUUUAUGAAUGGUUGCCUCUGCCACAACCCCUCAGUAAUCAGAGAUAGAUAUUUUUAGUAUCAAUGGCCAAAAGCCGUCUGACCUAUGUCUAUGUGGAGUCUUGUGGUUUACAAAAACAUUUUGUAUGCAUGUGUCUAAAUCAGUUAAGAACCACAAAGCUAGAUUUUAUUCGCAUUUUAUCACUGAGGUUCCGAGAGGUUAAACAAUUGCCCGGGAGAGCACAGAUAGUAAGAGGCAAGUCACAAACACAAGUCCUCUGAUUCCAAAUCUAAGCCCAUCCCAGAACGUCACAGCCUCCUGUGACAAACACCAGAGCUAAGAAUGAGACCCCAGGAGGCUGCUUACCCCCUGAGAGGCCCUGGGAGGCAGCCGGCAUUCAGCAAGAAAGGCGAGAAACCAGCUGCCCCUGGCCUGUAUGUCCUUCAGUUCCCUUCCCUUUGUCUCCAUCCUUACUGAGCAAGGGCAUCCUCUAGGGACAGCUGAAUGGACCCAUGUUCCAGUAAGAGCCAAACUGGUGGAAAUCUCCAAAAAGAGAAAUUUCCCUGUGAAAAAGUGAUUGGGGUUAAUGAGUUUAGUUACAAUUAAUGAUGGAUCAUUGCCUGGUCCCAGGGAGAGGGUGAUUUAAAAGACAUCUUCCUGGGAAAAGAUUCCUGGAAAACUGCCCUAGAAGACAUGCCAUGUGACAUUUAUGACGAGGUGGUGGGUUUGAUCCCUGGCCUUGCUCAGUGGGUUAAGGAUCCGGUGUUGUCAUGAGCCGCAGUGUAGGUCACAGACGCUGCUGGGAUCCCGCAUUGCUGUGGCUGUGGUGUAGGCCAGCGGCUACAGCUCCGAUUCAACCCCUGGCCUGGGAACUUCCAUAUGCC